ACGUGCCAGCAGCCGCGGUAAAACGUAGGUCACAAGCGUUGUCCGGAAUUACUGGGUGUAAAGGGAGCGCAGGCGGGAAGACAAGUUGGAAGUGAAAUCCAUGGGCUCAACCCAUGAACUGCUUUCAAAACUGUUUUUCUUGAGUAGUGCAGAGGUAGGCGGAAUUCCCGGUGUAGCGGUGGAAUGCGUAGAUAUCGGGAGGAACACCAGUGGCGAAGGCGGCCUACUGGGCACCAACUGACGCUGAGGCUCGAAAGUGUGGGUAGCAAACAGGAUUAGAUACCCUGGUAGUCCACACCGUAAACGAUGAUUACUAGGUGUUGGAGGAUUGACCCCUUCAGUGCCGCAGUUAACACAAUAAGUAAUCCACCUGGGGAGUACGACCGCAAGGUUGAAACUCAAAGGAAUUGACGGGGGCCCGCACAAGCAGUGGAGUAUGUGGUUUAAUUCGACGCAACGCGAAGAACCUUACCAAGUCUUGACAUCCUGCGACGGUGCUGGAAACAGUACUUUCCUUCGGGACGCAGAGACAGGUGGUGCAUGGUUGUCGUCAGCUCGUGUCGUGAGAUGUUGGGUUAAGUCCCGCAACGAGCGCAACCCUUAUGGUCAGUUACUACGCAAGAGGACUCUGGCCAGACUGCCGUUGACAAAACGGAGGAAGGUGGGGAUGACGUCAAAUCAUCAUGCCCUUUAUGACUUGGGCUACACACGUACUACAAUGGCGUUAAACAAAGAGAAGCAAGACCGCGAGGUGGAGCAAAACUCAGAAACAACGUCCCAGUUCGGACUGCAGGCUGCAACUCGCCUGCACGAAGUCGGAAUUGCUAGUAAUCGUGGAUCAGCAUGCCACGGUGAAUACGUUCCCGGGCCUUGUACACACCGCCCGUCACACCAUGAGAGCCGGGGGGACCCGAAGUCGGUAGUCUAACCGCAAGGAGGACGCCGCCGAAGGUAAAACUGGUGAUUGGGGUGAAGUCGUAACAAGGUAGCCGUAGGAGAACCUGCGGCUG
rnacentral:rRNA from 1 species